rnacentral:rRNA from 1 species
AGCAGCCGCGGUAAUUCCAGCUCCAAUAGCGUAUAUUAAAGUUGUUGCAGUUAAAAAGCUCGUAGUUGAAUUUCGGGAUCAGCAGGUCGGUCGUGCCAAUGGUAUGCACUGGCCUUGCUGAUUCCUCCCUCUUGAUGAGCCGUAAUGCCAUUAAUUUGGUGUUGCGGGGAAUCAGGACUGUUACUUUGAAAAAAUUGAGUGUUUAAAGCGGGCAAGCGCUUGAAUACAUUAGCAUGGAAUAAUGAAAUAGGACGUUUGAUCCUAUUUUGUUGGUUUCUAGGAUUGACGUAAUGAUUAAUAGGGAUAGUUGGGGCAUUAGUAUUCAAUUGUCAGAGGUGAAAUUCUUGGAUUUAUGAAGACUAACUACUGCGAAAGCAUUUGCCUAAGGAUUGUUUUCAUUAAUCAAGAACGAAAGUUAGGGAAUCGAAGACGAUCAGAUACCGUCGUAGUCUUAACCGAUAAACUAUGACCGACUAGGGAUCGGAUGUAUUAGUUAAUUUUUAAUCGACUCU